UCCGGAGGGGGCUAGCGGUGUUCGGAAUUACUGGGCGUAAAGAGCACGUAGGCGGAUUGUUAAGUCGGGGGUGAAAUCCCGGGGCUCAACCCCGGAAUGGCCUCCGAUACUGGCAAUCUUGAGGACGGGAGAGGUGAGUGGAAUGGCGAGUGUAGAGGUGAAAUUCGUAGAUAUUCGGCGGAACACCAGUGGCGAAGGCGGCUCACUGGCCCGAUACUGACGCUGAGGUGCGAAAGCGUGGUGAGCAAACAGG
rnacentral:rRNA from 1 species